rnacentral:tRNA from 1 species
UUCCUGGUGGUCUAGUGGUUAGGAUUUGGUGCUUUCACCACAGCAGCCUGGGUUCAAUCCCUGGUCUGGAAA